rnacentral:rRNA from 1 species
GGUUCGAUUCUGGGCUCGGAUUGAACGCUGGCGGGAUGCUUUACACAUGCAAGUCAACGGCAGCACGGACUUCGGUCUGGUGGCGAGUGGCGAACGGGUGAGUAAUGUAUCGGAACGUGCCUAGUAGUGGGGAUAAUCGACAGCAGUAGCUAAUACCAUGUUGCCCUUCGGGGGAAAGCGGGGACCUUCGGGCCUCGCACUAUUAGAGCGGCUGAUAUCGGAUUAGCUAGUUGGUGGGGCAACGCUCACCAAGGCGACGAUCCGCAGUUGGUUUGAGAGGACGAUCAGCCACACUGGGACUGAGAUGACGGCCCAGACUCCAUGAGGCAGCAGUGGGAAUUUUGGGACAAUGGGAAACCCUGAUCCAGCCAUCCCGCGUGUGCGAUGAAGGCCUUCGGUUGGUAAAGCACUUUGGGUAAAAGAAAUGCGUAUUGAUACCCCGUGCAACUGAUGAAAAUUGCAGAAUAAGCACCGGCCACCAUUGCGCCAGCAGCCGCGGUAAUAUUGUGGUGGUGCAAGCGUUAAUCGGAAUAUUUUGGGCGUAAAGCGUGGCAAGUAAUUAAAAGAAAGAUGCAAAUCCCAGAGCUUAACUCUGAACUGCAUUUUUAACUACCGAGCUAGAGUGUGUCAGAGGGAGGUGGAAUUCGCAUAAGGGGAAAAUGCAGAUAUGCGGAGGAACACCGAUGGCAAGGGCAGCCCCUGGGAUAACACCGACGCUCAUGCACGAAAGCGUGGGGAGCAAACAGGACGAUACCCUGGUAGUCCACGCCCUAAACGAUGUCAACUAGUUGCUAGCUCGGCCUUGGUAGCGCAGCUAACGGGUGCUGACCGCCUGUGAGUGACGAAUGCAAGAUUAAAACUCAAAGGAAUUGACGGGGACCCGCACAAGCGGUGGAUGAUGUGGAUUAACGGAUGCAACGCGAAAACCUUACCUACCCUGACAUGUCUGGAAUCCCGAAGAGAUUUCAGAGGUUUUAAGAGAACCGAACACAGGUGCUGCAUGGCUGUCGUCAGCUCGUGUCGUGAGUGUUGGGUUAAGUCCCGCAACGAGCGAACCCUUGUCAUUAGUUGCUACGAAAGGGCACUCUAAUGAGACUGCCGGUGACAAACCGGAGGAAGGUGAUGACGUCAGUUCCCGCGCCCUUAUGGGUAGGCUUCACACGUCAUACAAUGGUCGGGACAGAGGGUCGCCAACCCGCGAGGGGGAGCUAAUCCCAGAAACCCGAUCGUAGUCCGGAUCGCAGUCUGCAACUCGACUGCAGAAGUCGGAAUCGCUAGUAAUCGCGGAUCAGCAUGUCGCGGUGAAUACGCUCCCGGGUCGUCUUGUACCGCCCGUCACACCAUGGGAGUGGGUUUUACCAGAAGUAGUUAGGCCUGAAACUGCAAGGAGGGCGAUUACUACUGGUAGGAUUCAUGACUGGGGUGAAGUCGUACGGCA